rnacentral:rRNA from 1 species
AGAGUUUGAUCCUGGCUCAGGAUGAACGCUAGCGACAGGCUUAACACAUGCAAGUCGAGGGGCAGCGGGGGCGGAAGCUUGCUUUCGCCCGCCGGCGACCGGCGCACGGGUGAGUAACACGUAUGCAACCUGGCCGCCACAGGGGGAUAACCCGCGGAAACGCGGCCUAAUACCCCGUGACGCCACCGGAGGGCAUCCUCCGGUGGCCAAAGGAGCGAUCCGGUGGCGGAUGGGCAUGCGGCGCAUUAGCUAGACGGCGGGGUGACGGCCCACCGUGGCGACGAUGCGUAGGGGUUCUGAGAGGAAGGCCCCCCACACUGGGACUGAGACACGGCCCAGACUCCUACGGGAGGCAGCAGUGAGGAAUAUUGGUCAAUGGGCGGAAGCCUGAACCAGCCAAGUCGCGUGAGGGAUUAAGGCCCUGCGGGUCGUAAACCUCUUUUGCCGGGGAGCAGUGGUCCGGACGCGUCCGGACCGGGAGAGUACCCGGAGAAAAAGCAUCGGCUAACUCCGUGCCAGCAGCCGCGGUAAUACGGAGGAUGCGAGCGUUAUCCGGAUUUAUUGGGUUUAAAGGGUGCGUAGGCGGGCAUUUAAGCCGGCGGUCAAAUGUCGGGGCUCAACCCCGGCCUGCCGUCGGAACUGGGUGCCUUGAGUGGGCGAGAAGUAUGCGGAAUGCGUGGUGUAGCGGUGAAAUGCAUAGAUAUCACGCAGAACCCCGAUUGCGAAGGCAGCAUACCGGCGCCCUACUGACGCUGAGGCACGAAAGUGCGGGUAUCGAACAGGAUUAGAUACCCUGGUAGUCCGCACAGUAAACGAUGGAUGCUAUCUGUCCGGGCCGAAUGAGGCCUGGGUGGCACAGCGAAAGCGUUAAGCAUCCCACCUGGGGAGUACGCCGGCAACGGUGAAACUCAAAGGAAUUGACGGGGGCCCGCACAAGCGGAGGAACAUGUGGUUUAAUUCGAUGAUACGCGAGGAACCUUACCCGGGCUCAAACGGGAGAUGACGCGGGCAGAGACGCCUGUUUUUUAGGACAUCUUCCGAGGUGCUGCAUGGUUGUCGUCAGCUCGUGCCGUGAGGUGUCGGCUUAAGUGCCAUAACGAGCGCAACCCCUGCCGACAGUUGCUAACGCGUAGCGGCGAGGACUCUGUCGGGACUGCCGGCGCAAGCCGCGAGGAAGGCGGGGAUGACGUCAAAUCAGCACGGCCCUUACGUCCGGGGCGACACACGUGUUACAAUGGGGGGUACAGCGGGAAGCCAGGCGGCGACGCCGAGCGGAACCCGAAAGCCCCUCUCAGUUCGGAUCGGAGUCUGCAACCCGACUCCGUGAAGCUGGAUUCGCUAGUAAUCGCGCAUCAGCCAUGGCGCGGUGAAUACGUUCCCGGGCCUUGUACACACCGCCCGUCAAG